CUGACGCCACAAUUCCGCGUUCAGCAACUGCCUUCCAUUUACAGCAGUCAGCCUCAGUGUGAGUGGCUCCAACAUAAACUUUUAAACAGUUGCCUCUGCUGAUCACAUGCUGGUUUCUGGAAGAUUCUGAGCUGUUCCAAUGGACAAAGGCUACCUCUUCAUCCUAGAAUGUGACUUGUAUUGUAUAAGCAUUCCAGCCAAGCUAACGCAAAGGGUUCAUAGACGCUAAGUUGGCACCAGCAGCUAUGGACACAUGUAGAGCUAUUUGUGACUCAUAAUCUCCAAUGUUGUGCUAAUGGCCCCACCAUUACCUGUUCCAAAACACAAUGGGUUUCAACCGGGCACCUCGUUAGCUGAGUAGCUCGACCUAAAACCACCCUGUUACAUAAUCGAGUCUUGAGCUGUUUAAUUAUACAGCUCUUGAAUUUUAUCUUCAGUCCCUGUUUGACCUCAGAAGAGAAGCAGGAGUCCAGGCAAGCAACCUGCCUCUGUCUACCAUUUUGUUGCCUAACAGAUAGCAGCAGAAAAAUCUCUGUCCAGGUCAAGUGCCUGGCGCUCAUCUACACUGUGAACUACUAGAACAUUGGAACCUCUGUAUCUGUGCCUUCAAUACUAAUUCAUCUCUACAUGUCUUCUCCCAUCUUGGAAGUCCUCACUUCUGGAUAGUCAGAUCACCUGCAACAGUUCAGCCUGCUAACCUCCGAAGGAAUUCACCAUUGGACUUUUGAUUCUGAACUCUGGACUCAUGUGAAACCAUAACUCUUAACUUUAUUGUGGUCUUGCCCUGUACCCCUUUCUUUCCCUUAUCUGUCUUUUAUUGUAUGAGAGCAAAAAGGGGUGGACAUUGUGAAACCCCUUUCCCGCAUCUUGUGUGCGUAAGAUAAACCAACCCUCUUAUUUUACCUUAUCUCGAGUUUACUGUGGGAUUAUUAAUUGGAUCACUCCAAAACUGAAGGGUUGGGGAAAAUACGCCAUCACUUAUAAAGGGGGAAAUCAAAAACACCUUUCUGUUUACGGACGGGUAUUGAGAGGAGAAAUCAGAGCUGUUUAAAUUAAUCCCCUCUCUGGUCAGUAACACUAGACUAUUUUAAAACAAUGAUUUAAAAAAAAUCUUUUUAAGGAGGCCCUUGAAUUCAAGAGUCAAGAUGUUACAAAAGAAACUCAAAAAGCUCUGCACUUGGGUCGAUCUGUAGCAACUGAAGUUCAAAGAGGCAAAUGCAACUUAAUAAAUAAAAUAGAACUAGCCAGUUUGAAGAGACCAACGGAUAUUAAUUGAUUUGACAUUCACUACAUUUAAACACUAUGAGGUGGCAUUAUGCACAAACUGGAUUGUAUACCAAAUCAUCUGUGUUCAAAUUUGCAGAGACAAUCAGAAUUAUUUCUUUUUCUGGAGAGUGAUACAAUUGAAAGAGUCAUUGAGACCAGGAAGAGUGAUUAAGUCUGUAAUGGGAAGAUGGUAGGAUUGGUAUUUGGAAGGAGAACAUCAAAUGAGUGGAAUGCAUUCCUCAUCUGAAUUUAUGUUGUAAACAUUUUCUAGGGUUGGAUUAUUAAUUUAACCUGUAUUCUAUAUUAAUAUUACUUAUUUUUCAAAGAUACAUCAUGGUUUGUGAAGUACUUUGGGGCAUUGUGAGAUUAUGAAAGGCAAUUUAUAUAAAUGUAUGUAUAUACAAGUUUCAGUUACAGGUCAGAUAAUAGAUGUUCAUAAUUCAUGUGAAACAUUAUAAUUAAAAUAUUUCCUCCAACAUGUAUUUUUGAAAAUAUUAAAAAAACUCCACUAGAGUCAAUAUUUGUAGUACAAUACUUGACAGACAAGUGUAAUUAUUUUUAAAAAUUGCUAUGCAGUAUUUUACUUUUGAGGGUGAUACCUGUCUGUGCUCCUCUAUGGUGUCAAGUGACAACAUAUCUUGUGCUGGCUACUUUGAGAUAAUUGUAAUUUAUGUAAGAGUUUUCCCAGUGUUUUCACUGAUAAGGAAGGGGAAGCAUUCCUUUCUGCUGGCUAAAUGCAAACUCAAUCAAUAUUACCACUGGUUAACAUUUGUACACAACUAGAUGAGAAAUGUAAGGGUGUCAGUCGUCUGUACCAAACAUAAUUUGAUUUAACUGUCAUAAGAAUAGGAAGAAGAACGCAUGUAACUGGUAUGUUGUGAAAUAUCAUUUGCCUGUAUAUCGUGUGAUCCUUAAUAACCUAAGUCAGGCCAUUAUAAUGAAGGUGUCAAAAUACAAAGAGUAUUACAUAAUUCAUGUCUAAA